rnacentral:piRNA from 1 species
UCUAACACUCCUGGUUUCAAAUGAUUGGG